CAGUCGCCACGGUAAUACAGAGGGUGCGAGCGUUAAUCGGAUUUACUGGGCGUAAAGCGUGCGUAGGCGGCUUCUUAAGUCGGAUGUGAAAUCCCUGAGCUUAACUUAGGAAUUGCAUUCGAUACUGUGAAGCUAGAGUAUGGGAGAGGAUGGUAGAAUUCCAGGUGUAGCGGUGAAAUGCGUAGAGAUCUGGAGGAAUACCGAUGGCGAAGGCAGCCAUCUGGCCUAAUACUGACGCUGAGGUACGAAAGCAUGGGGAGCAAACAGGAUUAGAUACCCGCGUAGUCCCUGUCUCUUAUAC
rnacentral:rRNA from 1 species